rnacentral:lncRNA from 1 species
AACGUUUUCUGAAAUUUUAGCUAUAAAGCUUCUCAGAAUUUUAUUUUAUUAUUUUUUAAAAAUAUUUAUUUUAUUUUUUAGAGAGAGAGCAAGAUCAUGAGCAGUGGGGGAGCGGCAGAGGGAGAGAGAGAAUCCCAAGCAGACUCCACGCUUGAGUGCGGAGCCUGACACGGGGCCCGCUCUCACGACCACCUGAGCUGAAAUCAAGAGUCGGACACUUAACUGACGAAACCACCUGGGCGACCCAUAGAGCUGCUCAGAAUUUUAGAUCAUCUGUUCUACUCCAACCAAGGGAUGCUCGUGUAUGUAAAGCAUGAAGAGUGGGCAGUGAUGGCUCUGCCACCAGCAGGAGUAGGGGCCAGCAUCAACAGUGCCAUCCUGAGGAGUCUCCGGCAGCUACACGUCCCAUGGAGCUCGUCCUGUGGCCGGCUGGCUUUCCCAGAAGUCCACAUUCCAGCUUCCUCCCGCAGGCCCCGACCCCUACAGCAGGGGAGUGGGUACCGUGUGAAACUCUCUGAAACGCACCGGGGCACCUGGUCCCAUCUCCCACCGAAGGGGCCAGAGGCUAAUUGGCAGGAACGCCGCAUCCUGUAUCAGCCCCGCAGACGUGUGCUCUGGGCCCCGGAGCCGAGUGCUGCCGGGAAACGCGCACUCGUCUCCUCCGUAUCUGUUACAGGCCCCGCGGUUCACCGUCUGCUCGGAAAUUGGAUGAAGUCUGUGUGUACUUCCCUCGGCGUGCUCCUCCCUGACAGACAUCCAUCAGUCCCCAGAACCUAUGAAUGUGUUACCCUGUGCAGAAGAAGGGACUUGUCACAUGUGGGCAAGUUAAGGACCCUGAGGUGGAGAGAUGGUCCUGGAUGAUCCCAGCCCAGUGUCAUCACACGGUAAGAGGUGCACACGGGACCAGAGUCAGAGAGGGACCAUGAUGAGGGAAGCAGAGGUCAGGAUGAUGCAGCCAAAAGCCAAGGCUGAGGUGCCUCUGGACUCUGGAGAGGCAAGAGACAGGUUCUUCCCUGGGGCCUCCAGAAGGGUCCGGCCCUGCCUACCCUUGACUUGAGCCCGCUGAGGCCCGUCUUGGACGUCUGCCUUCCACAGUGAACUGGAGGCCGUGAAGCUGUGCUGUCUUAGGCUGCGAGGGUUGAGAUCAUUUGUCGCAGCGUCCGCUGGAGCUGAAUGUCACCAGUGGCUCUGCUUCCGUGCAUUUCAUGCGUCCACGUGGGGGUGAAGGUGAGGGGGUUUGUGGGGGAGGGGGAGCUGGGGAGAGUUGGUGAGACUUCUGGGGAGUGCUGGGCGGUGGAGGGGGGAGCGGCACGCUGUGCAGCAGGCGGCUGGGCUUGGAGAUGGCAGACCAGCUGUGCACAGAGUGCCACAGGGCAGGCGAAUCCCAGUGCUGAGCAGGAGGGUAAGGUGACACAGUGGCCUGUGACAGUGGCAGCACCAAGUAAACAUUCAGGAUACUGGGUGGAAGGCUCUGGACACAGCACAGUGUGGAUGUGGCUGAAACCUGUCUCUGCCCCAGAGACCCCUCCCUGUCGUCAUGGCCUGAAUCAGUGGUCCCAGGGUGUCCAUAAGGGCCCUUUGGUCUCUUUAGCAUGGGCUGAGUGCCAGCAUGGGGUCUGGGUUCCCUGAAUAAGAUGUUCGUGUUGUGUUGGACCCGUCAGAGGCCUGGGCCGUGGCAGCCAGACUGGAGAGGAGGGACAGAGGCUGGCCCGCACACUGAUGAGCUGCCCCAGUCAGCCGGGUCCAGAUGGGCCGCCCCCUCCCAGGACUGCUGUGAGCUCAGGCCAGGGGCAGCAGGUCCAGUGUCCCCAGGCCCUGCUUCACCCUUGCCAAGGCCACCUGCAGAGAGGGGACAGAGGAUUCCUGCUUGGGAUGUGAGAAGCAAGUCCACUCAAAACCACCCGUCUCAGCAUUGCCUCGGCCAGCCUUCUAGAUAAACAAAGCAGUGUUUAAAAAAUCCACGGGGAGGUGUUUUGGCCUGGAGGGAGGGAAGGUUCCGGGCCUCACUCUGAGCCAAGCCGGACCCACCCAUUCUUGGGACAGAGUAAAGCCAUCGUCCUCUGCGUCUCGGUGCCGUUUCUCGGGCCUGCCAAGGUCCUACAGUGGGAGGUGGCUCUUGUCCAUGGAGCUGGGUUUGGGCAGGCUCUGGGUCCCCUCCUGGAAUGCGGGGUUUCGUGGAAAAAUUGAGCCCCGAAGCACUCGCAGAGGAAAUUCCAGGGUGCGUUUGCUGAUGGACGUGUCUUGGAAGGCGGCUGGUUACGUUGGCACCGUCCCAGCACUCAUGCUCUCCCCUUCCUGCCCUCCCGCUCCCCAACUUCUCUUUUUCCCUCCAAAGAAAAAAAUAUCAAAACCAAAGACAAGCCAGAAAGCACAAGCAAACCGACCAGAGAGAACCCUACUUAGUCAAGAAAAAUGACAAACCCUAGGGCAUAAAAUCACCAGCACUUUUACAGUAGCCCGUCUUAGAAGAAAGGCCGUCCCUGAGUGGAGGGACACAUGCAAAUGUUCUUUAAGCUGCCAUCUUUCGAAUGCCUACGAUAGUUUUGUUUUUGUGUUUAACCGAGGCAUAGCUUAAAUGUAAUCAAGUGCACACCUGUGGAGUGUGCAGCUCGGCAAGGUGCUACAUAUGUGUCCCCUGAGACACACAGAGCCCCCCACCCCCGGCAUGCACGGGGCUACCCUCAUCCUCUUUCCUUGUCAGCGCCCUUCACCCCCGCUCACUGCGGCUCCGACUUCCACGCUCUUCACUUUGCUGCUCUUGAACGUCAUGUCUGUGGACUCACGCGGCAGGUCCUGCUCUGUGCUGGCCUCUUUCACGUGCUGUCAGUCUGACAUCUGUCCGUGUGCUGGGGUGUGGCCAGUCUGCUCCCCUCUCUUGCUGCGCAGAAUUCUGUUGUGAGAGCAUGCCCCGGUGUGUUUACACAUCCCCUGCUGACACACUCUUGGGACGUUUCCAUUUUUGGGGACACUUUGAAUAAAGCAUCCACGAGCUUUCUUGGCUCCUUCUUGGUCCUUUGGUGUCUCCAUGCCACGGUAGCCCCGUGGCGUGAGUACGGUUUUUAGCAUCCCCAAGUCAUAGGUGGGAACACUGAGGCACGACAAGUUUUAGUGCCUUGUCCAAAGUCCCAAGGUAAGGAGCGGGGCUGGGAUUGCAGCCAGAGCCAUGCGUUGGGGACCCCAGCUCUUUGCAAAAGGCACAGCAUUUCAGGAGCAAAGUGGCCGAAGACUCCAGGGCUGUGAGGCACGGGCAGUUUUUCGGCGUGAAGAAUCCCCCUCCUCCUCCUUGGCAGAGGGAUGCCUGGCCCAGUCCUCACUCACUGUCCUGGCUGUCCCCGCCCAAGCCCAGCUGUGUGCUCACGGCCUGAGAGAGCCCCUGAUGACAGCUGUGUUAGAUGUUCCGGGAGAUGCAGGCUCUCGUUCAGCUGCUGGGGGAAAGCCCUGCAAAUCCUGUGACAAACAGCUCUAAUCUGGUGUUUAAUGUGGAGCCUGAUGUCGGCAGCAGCGAGUGAGGGCACAGGCUUUGGGAAACACAACCGGUGCCAAGCCUGGGAGUGUGCAUCUGGCCCCCGCCAGGCAGCCAGGCUGCUGAUCCCCCAGCUGAGCACGGCUGGAGGCUGGACGGCAUCACUGUGGCCUCAUGGGCUCGGUUUGCUGACCCUGGGUUGACAUGAGCAAUAAUGAAAUGACCCACGUGAAAUGCCAGCAUGGCCCCAGUGAGUGUGAGCUGGCUUGUUGUUUUCCAUUGUUCACAAUUGGGGCUUAUGACCUGAGCAAUCUACCCUACGGGUCCCUUAUCUGAGUCCCUUAUCUGAGACCCUGGGGGCCAUAUCUGUUUCAGAACUCAGGAUUUGUUGGAUUUUAGAAUGUUAAAUCGUUGCUUAUAUUGUAUAUCAUUAAGAGCCCCGUGGGAUCCUGGGCAUUCUGGGUAAUGGAACUCAUGGAGUUUCUUCAGCAAACCGUAUGGGUAGGCAGCCUUGACCAGCCUCACCACUCUCUUCAGGGACGGCUCUGCUGCCAAAUGAAUGUGCUGCAAAUUUGGGAAGAAAUUUGCAUGAUUUGGGAACUGGUGAUACGGGGUUGGGUCGUGGCUUCAGACCGUUGUGAGAUGGAUGAGCUCAUCUAAGAGGAGUGUGUAGAGCAGAUGCAAGGGACAUGCUGUUCAUAAUCACAGUGUGAGUGUGUGUGCAUGUGGGUGUGUGUGUGUGGUGUCACUUUGAUUUUGUUGUUGUCUUAAUCCAUUUCUUGCUCAUGAGUCUGCCAUUCGGGACAGCUCAUCUCUGUAUGGUGUCUGCCGGGGAAGCUUGAAAGCUGCAGGUGACUGAUGGCUGGGUUCUGGGACAUCUCAAGGCUGGCUCACUCACGUGUGUGGCGGGUAAUGCUGGCCGUUAACCGGGGACCUCCGCAGCGCUCUGUUAGCCCACCCUCUGCCCUUGGGCUUCCUGUGGCUGCUUGGACUUCCUCUCAGCACAGAGCAGCCAUCUGGACGUACAAGGUGGACGUGAACGGCACUGUCAGGGUCUAGUCUUGGUGGUCAUUUCCAUCAUACUUUCCUGGUGGAGACGGUCGCCAAGUUCCCCCCAGGUUCGAGAGGAGGGGGCAUCCCAGCCCUGGAUGGGAGGCGUGUCAGCAUCACACCCACAAGAAGAGCCUGUGGCAUGGACCCGUUGUGGUGAUCUUAGAAAACCCCUGCCUGCCCCGGAAGCCCCUCCGGGAGUCUCUGAGGCCCCCGCGGUCUGGAUAGCCUCCUGCCGAGGCACAGACCACCGUGUGCUUCCCGGGAGCCUGUGGCCACCUCAGUGCCUGGGUCCGUUAGGCUAAAGGGAGUUGUUCGUAUCUUUAUUAGUGGUUAGCUUGAAAAAAUUUAAACGUAAUUUUAUAAUUCCAUUAUUUAAACACAGUUAUUUAUUUUAUAUAAUUAUAUUUUAUAUUAUUAUGUCCUUACAAUAGAAUUUCC